rnacentral:rRNA from 1 species
AUUGAACGCUGGCGGCAGGCCUAACACAUGCAAGUCGAACGAGUGGCGGACGGGUGAGUAAUGUCUGGGAAACUGCCUGAUGGAGGGGGAUAACUACUGGAAACGGUAGCUAAUACCGUAUACCCUCGGAUGUGCCCAGAUGGGAUUAGCGAGUAGGUGGGGUAAAGGCUCACCUAGGCCACGCUCCCUAGCUGGUCUGAGAGGAGGACCAGCCACUCUGGAGCUGAGACACGGUCCAGACGCCGACGGGAGGAAGCAGUGGGGAAUAUUGCAGAAUGGGCGCAAGCCUGAUGCAGCCAUGCCGCGUGUAGGAAGAAGGCCUUCGGGUUGUAAAGUACGUUCAGCGGGGAGGCGUGACCCGCAGAAGAAGCACCGGCGAAUUCCGUGCCAGCGCCGCGGUAAUAC